rnacentral:misc_RNA from 1 species
GAAAUGCGAUAAGUAAUGUGAAUUGCAGAAUUCUGUGAAUCAUCGAAUCUUUGAACGCAAAUUGCGCCCUCUGGUAUUCCGGGGGGCAUGCCUGUCCGAGCGUCAUUGCGAACCCCUCAAGCACGGCUUGUGUGAUGGGCCCUCCCGCGUCUUGGUCGUCAAGACGGGCCCGAAAAGCAGUGGCGGCUUCGCGGUUAUCCGAUCAGCCAGAGCGUAUGGGGACUUUCUCUCUGUCACACGCCCGCGGCGCGGACCGACGCCUGUCGACCUUUAUUCAUCUUUUUCUCGGUUGACCUCGGAUCAGGUAGGGAUACCCGCUGAACUUAAGC